rnacentral:rRNA from 1 species
UACGUAGGGGGCUAGCGUUGUCCGGAAUCAUUGGGCGUAAAGCGCGCGUAGGCGGCCCGGUAAGUCCGCUGUAAAAGUCCAGGGCUCAACCCUGGAAAGCCGGUGGAUACUGUCGGGCUCGAGUCCGGAAGAGGCGAGUGGAAUUCCUGGUGUAGCGGUGGAAUGCGCAGAUAUCAGGAGGAACACCGAUAGCGAAGGCAGCUCGCUGGGACGGUACUGACGCUGAGGCGCGAAGGCGUGGGGAGCGAACAGG